rnacentral:rRNA from 1 species
GACGAACGCUGGCGGCGUGCUUAACACAUGCAAGUCGAACGGAAAGGCCCUGCUUUUGUGGGGUGCUCGAGUGGCGAACGGGCGAGUAACACGUGAGUAACCUGCCCUUGACUUUGGGAUAACUUCAGGAAACUGGGGCUAAUACCGGAUAGGAGCUCCUGCUGCAUGGUGGGGGUUGGAAAGUUUCGGCGGUUGGGGAUGGACUCGCGGCUUAUCAGCUUGUUGGUGGGGUAGUGGCUUACCAAGGCUUUGACGGGUAGCCGGCCUGAGAGGGUGACCGGCCACAUUGGGACUGAGAUACGGCGCAGACUCCUACGGGAGGCAGCAGUGGGGAAUAUUGCACAAUGGGCGGAAGCCUGAUGCAGCAACGCCGCGUGCGGGAUGACGGCCUUCGGGUUGUAAACCGCUUUCGCCUGUGACGAAGCGUGAGUGACGGUAAUGGGUAAAGAAGCACCGGCUAACUACGUG